GUCCAGAAUGCGGCGGACCAGAGCCAACAGCCCGUAAGGCCUAUGGCCACAGCUGGCCAGAGGCGGGAAACGAGGCCUGCCAGGCCGGCUGU
rfam:Rhizobium mesoamericanum STM3625 genomic scaffold, ANZ_2301